AUGCCCGCGGAUGCGCCGCCAGAUGAGAUCGACUGGGCAACGCACACGGAGCUGCUGCGCGCCCAGCUCGCGCGCGCCCAGGCGCGUUUCAAGAAACAAGCAGAUCGCCACCGCGUCGAGCGCACCUUCGACGUGGGCGAGCAAGUCCUCCUCAAGCUUCAACCGUACGCCCAGUCAUCCGUCGCCAACCGCCCUUGUCGCAAGCUGGCGUACGAGUUCUUCGGACCCUUCACGGUGACGGAGCGCGUUGGCACGUUGGCAUAUCGCCUGAACUUGCCGGCGGAUAGCCGUAUCCACCCCGUCUUCCACGUCUCGCAACUCAAGCCAUUCGUCCCUGACUAUACUCCGGUCUUUGCGGAGCUGCCCAAGAUACCGGACCUCACGGCCGCAGACCGCGCUCCGAUUGCCAUUCUGGACCGCCGCAUGAUGAAGAAGGGAGACACCCCAGUCAUCCAAGUACAGGUGCAGUGGAGCACCAUGCCGCCAUCAUCAACCUGCAGCGGACUAACCAAUGCAAGUGCAGCUAGCCACUUGCAACGACCAGGUCACCAUGGGGCCCGGCGGCCAAGUGGGUACGCGUUAAGCGUCAAGCAGUCGGUCUCCCGCACGGACGGGAGGAACCGCCUCGACUGGGCCGGCCCAUGGCUUAUUGUUGCAGCCAGCUGCUGGCUGUAA
rnacentral:rRNA from 1 species